rnacentral:rRNA from 1 species
UACGGAGGGUGCAAGCGUUGUCCGGAUUUAUUGGGUUUAAAGGGUGCGUAGGCGGCUUUUUAAGUCAGUGGUGAAAUACUCCAGCUUAACUGGAGGGGUGCCAUUGAUACUGAAAGGCUUGAGUACAGAUGAGGUAGGCGGAAUUUAUGGUGUAGCGGUGAAAUGCAUAGAUACCAUAAAGAACACCUAUUGCGAAGGCAGCUUACUAAGCUGUAACUGACGCUGAGGCACGAAAGCGUGGGGAGCGAACAGG